AGUGAACGCUGGCGGUAGGCCUAACACAUGCAAGUCGAACGGCGGCACAGUAAGAGCUUGCUCUUACGGGUGGCGAGUGGCGGACGGGUGAGGAAUACAUCGGAAUCUACUUUUUCGUGGGGGCUAACGUAGGGAAACUUACGCUAAUACCGCAUACGACCUACGGGUGAAAGCAGGGGAUCUUCGGACCUUGCGCGAUUGAAUGAGCCGAUGUCGGAUUAGCUAGUUGGCGGGGUAAAGGCCCACCAAGGCGACGAUCCGUAGCUGGUCUGAGAGGAUGAUCAGCCACACUGGAACUGAGACACGGUCCAGACUCCUACGGGAGGCAGCAGUGGGGAAUAUUGGACAAUGGGCGCAAGCCUGAUCCAGCCAUACCGCGUGUGUGAAGAAGGCCUUCGGGUUGUAAAGCCCUUUUGUUGGGAAAGAAAAGCAGCAGGUUAAUACCCCGCUGUUCUGACGUUACCCAAAGAAUAAGCACCGGCUAACUUCGUG
rnacentral:rRNA from 1 species